UACGUAGGUGGCAAGCGUUAUCCGGAAUUAUUGGGCGUAAAGCGCGCGCAGGUGGUUCCUUAAGUCUGAUGUGAAAGCCCACGGCUCAACCGUGGAGGGUCAUUGGAAACUGGGGAACUUGAGUGCAGAAGAGGAAAGUGGAAUUCCAAGUGUAGCGGUGAAAUGCGUGGAGAUUUGGAGGAACACCAGUGGCGAAGGCGACUUUCUGGUCUGUAACUGACACUGAGGCGCGAAAGCGUGGGGAGCAAACAGG
rnacentral:rRNA from 1 species